rnacentral:rRNA from 1 species
CAGUAGCGUUUCUGAAAGUUGUUGCGGUUAAAAAGCUCGUAGUUGGAUUUCAGGCUCGCCUUUGUCAGUGUUGGGUUGCAAUGCAACUACAAGCCGGCGGGGGUUGCAGUCAUCAUUUUGCUCGCGCUCUUAGAGCUCGAUUGCAAAACUAUUACUUUGAGGAAAUUAGGGUGUUCCACGCAGAGCGAUGUCUCACAUACUUAGCAUGGAAUGAAACGAUUCGACUUUGUUCUCGAUUCGUUGGCUAUUGGGAGCAAAGUAAUGCUGAAUAGAAGCUGCCGGGGGCAUUCGUACUUGACUGUUAGAGGUGAAAUUCUUGGAUUUGUCAAAGACGAUCAACUGCGAAAGCAUUUGUCAAGGAAGCAUNCAUUAA